AGCAGCAGCCGCGGUAAUACAGAGGGUGCGAGCGUUAAUCGGAUUUACUGGGCGUAAAGCGUGCGUAGGCGGCUUCUUAAGUCGGAUGUGAAAUCCCUGAGCUUAACUUAGGAAUUGCAUUCGAUACUGGGAAGCUAGAGUAUGGGAGAGGAUGGUAGAAUUCCAGGUGUAGCGGAGAAAUGCGUAGAGAUCUGGAGGAAUACCGAUGGCGAAGGCAGCCAUCUGGCCUAAUACUGACGCUGAGGUACGAAAGCAUGGGGAGCAAACAGGAUUAGAUACCCGAGUAGUCCCUGUCUCUUAUAC
rnacentral:rRNA from 1 species